rnacentral:lncRNA from 1 species
CACAUGCUAGGCAAGCAUUCUGCCACUGAGCUACAGCCCCAGCCCAUAAUUUUUUUUUUUUUAAUCCAGAAUCAGGAUAUACACAUUAGUGGUGCAGCUCAGAAGGUAGAGUUGUCGUUGCCUAGCAUUGAAGAGGACCUGGGUUAUUUUCCCUGCACUGAAAGAAAAAAAAAAAAACCCAUACACAUAAAAGUAAAUUUUUUAAUGCUUCAGUGUUAAUAAAAACUUUUUCAUCAAGCACUUUACAGCUAUUACCUGAAUAAAUCCUUCAAAAUACCCAAUAAUGUAAAAGCAUGACUUACCUUUCACAGAAAUUAAAACUGAGGUACAAUGAGCUAAGAAAUUAACCUAAAGCCUUAUCUAUGAACCUUAUCUAAUUAUAUUCAGACUUAAACAACCAUUAUUCAAACUCCUGUUCAUCUCCUGUUUACUACACUUUCUGCCUCCCUAAAAUGUUGGGAUUUUUCUAAUAGACUAGAAAUUAACUUCUGCUUCAAAAUUUUUUUUCCAAAAAAAUUGAUAUUUGAAAUAAUUUUUCUUUCUUGGGUACUUGUUGCCAAUUAGCUCUGCCUGGAAGCAGUUCAGUUUGUGAUAAAAAGCCUAAAGACAACAUAAAUAACAAUAAUAAAGCUGAUGUUUGUUUGCAUUUGUAUAGCACAAAUCAGGUAGGGGAUUUUGAGCUAUUAGCACUUGCUUAAACAAUCAGCCACAGUCUGAAUACAAAAAGAGCAACCACACCUUCCAGAAUGUUGGUUUAUCUGGAACUCUUUCCAAAACUUUCCUUAUCCUGAAUAAAAGCACAUCAAAUCAAGCUCAACGGCCAUAUUGAGCUCUCUCUGCACCAAUGAAAGUGAUUAGUGUUGGAUUUUUAUCCAAAAGCCUUCCCCCUCACUCAGUCAAGUUGCAGAGCUUGGAUUUAGAACAAACAUAUUUUAAUGGUGAGUCUUAUUCCAACUAUAUUUUAUCCAGCUCUAUUGCCUAUUGCAGUACCUACUGGGGACUGGUCAAAGCCAUAAAUUUUACUUUCAUGAGGUAAUAAACAAAAUUAAAAGCAAAACAAGCAAAACCCUUGUGUCCCUCUCUAUAUUUUCAAGUUGGCCUCAAAGUGAAUUGGAGAGUGUCCCCCUCUACUGCCCAUCAAGCAUAAAAUAACAGAGAUAUUUUAAAAGCACCUUUAGAAAAUCUUACUGGGGGAAUCCAGUAGGAUUAGGCAUCCAAGUUCCCAGUUUUCAC